rnacentral:lncRNA from 1 species
AUGUGUUAGUAUUUGUAUCUUAUCUUCUACUGUGAUCUUUAUUUUUUGUUAAGCACUCCACCAACACUUUUAAAUUUAUUGUCGGAAACAAGUUCUUCAAAUAAUUUUUAAGAAACCUAAUUCUCCUCUUAUCUUAGGUUGCCAUCUCUGGGAAAUAGUAUGUCUUACGAUCAAUCUAACAUUGAUAUAAAAUACUGUAGAAGGGCUCUCAAAUGUAAUUUGACUUGCAGAUUUUGGUGAGUUUACAGCAAUCCAAAAGGGCUCUCAAAUGCAAUCCAAGUACUACACUAACGGCUACUUUCUGGAAUUACUUACAUCCA